rnacentral:rRNA from 1 species
AUUGAACGCUGGCGGCAGGCCUAACACAUGCAAGUCGAGCGAGCGGCGGACGGGUGAGUAAUGUAUGGGGACUGCCCGAUAGAGGGGGAUAACUACUGGAAACGGUAGCUAAUACCGCAUACUAUCGGAUAACCCAUAUGGGAUUAGCUAGUAGGUGAGAUAAUGGCUCACAUAGGCGACGAUCCCUAGCUGGUCUGAGAGGAUGAUCAGCCACACAUGGACUGUGACGCGGCCCAGACUCCUACGGAUGCACCAGUGGGUAAUAUUGCACAAUGGGCGCAAGCCUGAUGCAGCCAGGCCGCGUAUAUGAAGAGGGCCCUAGGGUUGUAAAGUACUUUCAGUCGGGAGGCGUUACCGACAGAAGAAGGACCGGCUAACUCCGUGCCAGCAGCCGCUGUAAUAC